ensembl:lincRNA
AAAAAUUCUCCUUGGCUCUCUAGGAGCGACAAGGCUGACUGGGUUUGUAGGGAAGCUGGUCAUGCCUCUUUUUAUUCUACAUUCUGAAAAAGGAUGGCUUUCUUUUCAUGGAUGUAGUCGGGUCGUUCUUCUAGCUAUCGUGCCUGUAAAACAUCAAUGUAACGGGAAGAGUUUUAUUUGUUUGUUAGAGUAUGGUCCGCUCUUUGAGGGCAAAUCUCAAAGUUCGGCAACUUCUGCCACCAGAAGCCAGUGAGUGCGUUCUUGCAAUGGUAGAUGUGUUCUUGCAGGCUACUCUAAGUGUGUGGUAGACAUGCACUGUGAAAUAAUCCCUAAGUGAACUCUAACUCCAAAUGCUCUGGGAUCCACUCUUGUAGCCCCAUGAAGGUCGUGUAGCUUCUGGAAUUCUCUUUUUCCAUCAAUACAAGGAAAGAACUGGUGUUGAAAGCUGAUUUCAGUUCCCCAGUUCCAGAGCACACUAGAAUUGGAGCUCUUGCUCAGGAUUUCUUCUGGGGACACUCAGUCUUAAUGCAUAUUAUAGUGUGUGUGUGUGUGUGUGUGUGUGUGUGUGUGUGUGUGUGUAAUUUUUUCCAUCUUUUCCAUCUGAAGAAAUUAUUUUUCUCUUAAGAAUUAAUUCCAAUUUUAUAACAUUAGGAACAUAGAACUGAAUGAAAAAUGUUUACAUUGUAUCUUUGUCAUAGUUAUUUUAAGUAAGUAUAUAUCAAAUACUUACCAUAUGCUGGACACUGGAUUAGAUAUCCGGAGACAGGAUGAUAAGGAAGGUUGGUAUAGCCUGUUCCUUCAUGGAAAAUAAAGACAUAUAUUGCUAUUGUAGCUUAAAUAGACAAUGUGAGAAAAACUGCCACUACGGGAUUACGCAGGGCAACCUGCAAAGGCUGGACACAUUUACAAAAGAAUGGCCAGGUUGCACAACUGGUGAGAGCAGAGAGAACAUUCUAGAACAUUCCAGAGAUGACAGCGUGUGCAAGGCUGUAAAGAAUCCAAGAAAGUGUAAAAUGGAUAGGACCUAUUUCUUCAGAGUUUCAUCUCAGCAAGAAAAGAGUGCACUGAAGAAUUUCCAGGAGAAAAAAUUAGGCCGGUUAUCACCGGCCUGGCACGGCUUUUACUGUGUGGGAAGAAGUCCAAGUGCAACUGUCUCUAAACACUGCGAUAGUUAAAGUACAAUUACACUUGAGUAUGCACCAGCAAGUACUUGUGCUUGCAAGUCUAACUGUAAGCCCAGGAUGAGGAAACAGGGGGCAAGGAACUGGUAGUCUUCCUGGCUCUUCUCUGCCCCCGAGAACCGGGCCCUUGUUUCUUGAACUGACAGGGCUGUGCAGGGAAUUACGCUGAACAGUCCUCAGGUUGUAGUGCUACUGUUUCCCAUAGAACUGAAUUUUCCUGUGCUAGUAAACACCAUGAGACCAGCGUCUACAGAAUGGUUUCUGUCUUUUCCAAAUUCCCUGAAUCCCUCCAGGCUUUAAGCCGGGUCACAGAUGUGGGCUUGGUACCAGAUUGUAGCAAGUCGUAGGAAGAUUAAAAGAACAUUCCAUUUAGACCGUGCUAGUGUAUUCUGAGAUCUUACUUGCACCAGCCCACAGAAAUCGUGAACUCUGCCCUUUUCACACACCCACUUUUAUAAACACUUGGGUCUAAAUAAAGGACACGCUCACAGAUGGCUGACAGAAACUGUGCUUUCUAGAGAUUUUCAUAAACUUAUUUCAGUCCAGGAAGAAAAGAUGAACCCUGAAGAGAUAGCUUAGCUGUUUGAAGGGUGCCAUAAGCGUGAACACCUGAAUUCAGAUCUUAGGCGCCCACAGAAAACUGGGUGUGGUUACACAGCGAUAACCCUGGAGCUGUUGGGAUAGAAACAGAGGGAUCUGUGAAUACUCCGGUCAGAGACAAAUGAUAAGGCGAAGGAUAGCAGUGGAGGCUACCCACCACCAAUAUCUGGCCUCAGCAUGCAUGUGACAUGAUCAUACAUAAACACAUGACCCUCCAACACACACACACCACAUAUGAAGCCAGGCAGGCAUGUUAAUCCCAGCUCUGGGAAGCAGAGACAGGCAGAUUCCUAGUGUCUGCCUAGUACACCAGUGAAAAACUGUGCCUGGAAAACAGAAGGUAGACUAAUUCCAGCCAAAGCUGGACUCUGGCUACCAUACAUAUACACACACUCCCCCAUAUAUACACAAACGUAUAUGCUAUAUGCCAUACACUCAAAAGAAAGGCGAUCAAUAUAGCGGCUGACAUUAUAUAUAGCCAAUUACUAUUCCAUGUUAAGAAAGUCUUUGUUAUCGCUUCUUAACCUUUGGGCUAAGAUCAAGUGAAGAAAGUCUCUGUUGUUAUUGGACCUAAUGCUUUGUUAAGUGCUAGGCAAGUAUUCUACCCUUCGGCUACAUCUCUAGCCCAAGGAGGUCUUCAGAGCACAGGCUUAAAGUACACUAAAGGGAACUUUCUUCAGACAUAAGGUUCUAAAUUAAAAUAACUCUGCUUUUGCUUCAAAGAUGAUUCUGGAGCAGACUCUGAAAGACCAACGAAGAAUCUGCUGCCCACAUCUUAGGCUUCUCACCCCCUACCUCAGGCUUGGUACCCUGUGCUUUCUCCUCUGUGAUGGGCACUGUUAGCACACAUAGCCCUGGAACAUGUGAGAACUUCCCUAAGGAAAAAAGAAGGAAGCAUGGGCCCCUCUGCAUUAAAUGCUUCCUGUAAUAGUACACCGAUUCUAGUGGCCCAGAGAGAUACAUCCUGGGGUUGGAGAUAUAGCUCAGUUAAUGAAGUACUUGCCUAACAUAAAGCCCAGACUCAAUCCCAGUCAUGUCUAAACCAGAGGACAUGGCACACACCUAAAACCUUGACACUCAGGAGGUAGAGGCUAGAGGACCAGAAGUUCAAGAUCAUCUUUAGCUGUGAACUGAGGUAAAGGAUGGAAGAUCAGGAUAGUGUUCAGUGCCAUGGUCAUCUAUGGAAUAAGCACAAAGCCAGCCUGAAUUACAUUAUACACAUGCAUGCGCAUGUAGGCAUUGUGUGUGUGUACUAGGAAAGGUAAUGGAUUCUGUUUUCGUAGACACAAAUGUCAAUGCUUUUCUUAUCUUUCAUCUUUCUUUAAACUUUUCUGAACCACAGCGCUCUACAUACAUGCUGCUUCUCCACCCAUUAGCUGUCACAUCAGAGCACAUACAUGUAUGUCAUCUCUGCCCGCCCAGCUAGGACACGUCUCUGCUCCUUUGAGUCUUCUAGUGUCUUCAGAUGGUUUGCUUAAAUAACCCCUUCUCAGUGGACUAUCCCAGCCAAUCUGUUUCAAAUGUCCGCAUCAGCUCAGAGUCGCCUUAUUCAGUCUGCUGCAUCUCCAGUUUCCUAAAAGUGUUCCCAGUUGUAUUAAAACCUUAAUAAAUAUUGACUAACUAGGGUCGAGAGGAUGGCUCAGUAGGUAGAGUAUGUGUCAUGAAAAUGUUAGAUCCUUACUUUAAACUUCUGGAAGCCAUGAAAGAUCAGACAGGAUGAAACAUGUCUUUAACCCGGCACUCCUGUGGCCAGAUUGGAAAUGGAGUCAGAAGUCCCAGAAGAGACCCAUUCUCCAACAAGGUGAAAAUAGAAGAUCAAUACCCAAGGUGGUCUUUGAUCUCAACAUGUGCACUGUGGCACAUAAUUGUUCACACAGACACCUGCAUACACAUGCACACACAAGUACACACACAUGAAGAAAAAUAAAGGAAGAGGCUCUCCUAAUUGCCCUUAGAACCUAAAUAUGCUCUCACAAUCAGUAGGAUUGAUAAAUACUUUCCAAGAGCUCAUUAAACAGGAAGCGUGGGUCUUUAUGUUACAAGAUAAAUAAAAUUAUCCUGAUUGGCAAAAAU